AGUGUUAGGAUGGUAGGCAAAAUGUUCAACUGCUCUGAAUAGGCUGAAUAAAAAAUAACCUUUUUGAACAACU
rfam:Erinaceus europaeus unplaced genomic scaffold scaffold00015, whole genome shotgun sequence